CCCACACCCAGGAUGGGGUCUGCAGCCUGGUGAGGCCGACAGCAGAGCAGUCAGACCCGGCCUCCACUCCUCAGCACCACCUGGUGGCAGACCCCUCCUCUCACCUGCAUAGCUCUUGCAGGUUUGUGUUCCAUCUCCACCACUCCGAAGCUGUGUGACCUUGGAUAAAUCACUCCACCUCUCUGCUCCUGUCUCCUCAUUGUUAAGUAGAGGGAACACUGUCACCCUGUCCACCUCUUGAGACUAUGGGGAGGAUUAACAAGAGAAUGAGGGGCAAUGUGUUGGAAACUGUAAAGGGCUGUCCACUUUGCAGGAGACUUAAUAGUCACUGUGUUCCUGGGGCCCUGCGAUCAAGGCGGAGAAUAAAAAGGAAGCAAAAAUC
ensembl:lncRNA novel transcript